GCCGCUCCCUCCCACGCUGCCAGCUGAUCGACUGUUUUUGCAACACCAGGGUUUGUUGACAGGCGGAAGAUUUAUCCUCUCCGCUCUCCUUCCUGACUCAGAAGAGAUUGCGGACCUGGAAGCUGCAGUGCCUCUGGGUCACUUGGUAAUUUAAAAUUGAUGACUUGGAAAGAGAAUGGAGAUAAAGAUGCUGUCCUGGGAUGUGUCCUUUUAUAGAGAGCGUUUGAGGACUUUGACCUGUGCGUGUCUGGACCGGCAUGUUGGCUGGCUGGGUGUUGAGCAAUGGACGUGGCCCCCACAGGGAGUCGGUGCCUAACAGGAGAAUUUGGCCUUCCGCAAUACCGGGGACAUGCUGAAUGCCCACUGAAGGACUUCCCAUGAGUUACCAUUCCUGGGGCCACCAUCAAGCCCUGGGGGACAAGAGCCCGUGGAUAAAUACUCCAGCUUGUCAGGUGGACGAUUCUGGAAGGUCUUCUAUGGGCCGUUUGGUGGUCUUCAUGGAAUCGAGUCACUAACCUUGGGCAACCAUGCCGUGAGGAAGCGCAAGCUAUGCAAAUGGACAGGCCGUGUGGGGAGAUGGCUGGUGGCCCCGGUGUUCUGUCUCCCAGUCAACUCAUCCUAGAUGACGUUCCAAGCAUCAUGAAGCAGAGCUCCUUGCAGCUUCCCUCUGCCUGCUGGAUGGGACGCUCCCCGAUUCAGGAAUUGCUUAAAAAAGCCAAUUACAUCUUCACAUUCACUCGUAAUCUCUGUGCCCAGUGUGGGGCUUGAACUCUCAACCCCAAGAUCAAGAGUACCAUGCUGUACUGACUGAGCCAGCCAGGCGCUCCCAGCCAUAUGAAGGUUUACAGGAACUGCCACCCCCACUUGAGGCUGCUCAGGCUAGCCUGCUGGGGACACGUGACCCAUCCACUAGCAAGUGCCAACUGCCGUCUUAGACCAGCCAGCCGCAUUCAAGUCACUAGAUGACCACAGCCACGUGAGUGACCCCAAACAAAUGCAGCAGAGGAGCCGCCCGACUGAUCCCGACCCAACUGGUGACCCACACAACGAAGCCACUCAGAGUGAAGCCAUCUGGAUGGAGAGUACGCCCUGGGGAUUCCCAGUCCUGAGGUCUUCCUAGGUGCUCGGUGCCAAUUCAGGGUCCCACAGAAUGUCUUCUCCCUCCAUUUCUGGAGAUCCUGAGCUGCAUACGGAUGGGGCUGGGUGGGUGGAGAGACUCCUGGAUACCUGUUUAAAAACUUAAAAGGAGGAGCGUGAGAGCGAGAGUGGGGCUUGACUCACCACGCGGGGUUGGCCGGCCUUGACUUCGCUCGUCUCCUGUUAACGGCUCAUGGUCAAAAUAGUGGCAGGGCACGGUUACAGAAAAGCUCCCUCUUUGUCUGCUCAGACUCCAUAGAAAUCCUUGAUGUCGUGAAAGAUUAAAGCCAGUCCGCCGGUCCUCCAGGGGUGGAGAAUGGAACGCACUGCGGUCCUUGGUCUUCCGCGUGUCAAGCUGCGGUGACUGCAGACAGACAUGUGCAGAAGGAGGACGGAAGGGAAGCAAGGGUGACCAGUAUGUUCCCUUUGAAGGCCACAAAGGAUCGCAUUAUAAGCUUGCAGAGGCACUGGAUCGCUGUCUAGUCUGCAUUUACCGAAAUGUGAAACUUCCACGAGAAGAGGAGGAAAAAUCCCCCCGCUGUCUGAUAUUCUGCCUUGGAACGCUGUUAAGAACUACGUUCUAGGGGCGCCUGGGUGGCGCAGUCGGUUAAGCGUCCGACUUCAGCCAGGUCACGAUCUCGCGGUCCGUGAGUUCGAGCCCCGCGUCAGGCUCUGGGCUGAUGGCUCGGAGC